CGCCUCUUGCUAAGAGGUCCAGCCUGCCCAGUGACGUUCAACGGCCGCGGUAUUCUAACCGUGCAAAGGUAGCGUAAUCACUUGUUUUCUAAAUAAAGACCAGUAUGAAAGGCACCACGAGGAUUAAACUGUCUCCUUUUUUCAAUCAGUGAACCUAAUCUCCCCGUGAAGAAGCGGGGAUUAAAAUAUAAGACGAGAAGACCCUGUGGAGCUUAAAACACUAUAGCACCUGCACCAUGAUUAUAUGUUUUUGGUUGGGGUGACCGCGGAGAAAAACUUAUCCUCCACAGUGAAAAGCAAUAAGUUACAACUUUAUGCAUCAAAAAACUGACAUCAUCGACCCAAUAAUUGAUCAAUGAACCAAGUUACCCCAGGGAUAACAGCACAAUCCACUUUAAGAGCUCCUAUCGACAAGUGGGCUUAUGACCUCGAUGUUGGAUCGGGAUAUCCUAGUGGUGCAGCCGCUACUAAUGGUUCGUUUGUUCAACGAUUAAAACCCC
rnacentral:rRNA from 1 species